rnacentral:rRNA from 1 species
GACGAACGCUGGCGGCGUGCUUAACACAUGCAAGUCGAACGGAAAGGCCCUGCUUUUGUGGGGUGCUCGAGUGGCGAACGGGUGAGUAACACGUGAGUAACCUGCCCUUGACUUUGGGAUAACUUCAGGAAACUGGGGCUAAUACCGGAUAGGAGCUCCUGCUGCAUGGUGGGGGUUGGAAAGUUUCGGCGGUUGGGGAUGGACUCGCGGCUUAUCAGCUUGUUGGUGGGGUAGUGGCUUACCAAGGCUUUGACGGGUAGCCGGCCUGAGAGGGUGACCGGCCACAUUGGGACUGAGAUACGGUCCAGACUCCUACGGGAGGCAGCAGUGGGGAAUAUGGCACAAUGGGCGGAAGCCUGAUGCAGCAACGCCGCGUGCGGGAUGACGGCCUUCGGGUUGUAAACCGCUUUCGCCUGUGACGAAGCGUGAGUGACGGUAAUGGGUAAAGAAGCACCGGCUAACUACGUG